AUUGAACGCUGGCGGCAUGCCUUACACAUGCAAGUCGAACGGCAGCGGGGGAGAAGCUUGCUUUUCCUGCCGGCGAGUGGCGAACGGGUGAGUAAUACAUCGGAACGUGCCCUGUAGUGGGGGAUAACUAGUCGAAAGAUUAGCUAAUACCGCAUACGACCUGAGGGUGAAAGUGGGGGACCGCAAGGCCUCACGCUAUAGGAGCGGCCGAUGUCUGAUUAGCUAGUUGGUGGGGUAAAGGCCUACCAAGGCGACGAUCAGUAGCUGGUCUGAGAGGCCGAUCAGCCACACUGGGACUGAGACACGGCCCAGACUCCUACGGGAGGCAGCAGUGGGGAAUUUUGGACAAUGGGCGAAAGCCUGAUCCAGCAAUGCCGCGUGUGUGAAGAAGGCCUUCGGGUUGUAAAGCACUUUUGUCCGGAAAGAAAUGGCUCUGGUUAAUACCUGGGGUCGAUGACGGUACCGGAAGAAUAAGGACCGGCUAACUACGUGCCAGCCGCCGCAGUAA
rnacentral:rRNA from 1 species